rnacentral:rRNA from 1 species
GACGAACCGAGCGAACGUUGUUCGGAAUCACUGGGCUUAAAGGGCGCGUAGGCGGGCUGCCGCGUCCGGGGUGAAAUCCUCCGGCUCAACCGGGGAACGGCCUCGGAUACGGGCGGCCUCGAGGGGGGUAGGGGCAUCUGGAACUGUGGGUGGAGCGGUGAAAUGCGUUGAUAUCCACAGGAACUCCGGUGGCGAAGGCGAGGUGCUGGACCCCUUCUGACGCUGAGGCGCGAAAGCCAGGGGAGCAAACGGG